rnacentral:snRNA from 1 species
GCAUUCCAUUGAUCUAUCAUACUAUUGAUCUCUAGGGUUGAUUCAGUUGAUUCAGCUGGCUAGGUUCCAUAUGCAGACCUCUUGAAACUGCACAGUCUAAAAAGACAACUUUCUCUGAUUAGAGAUGGUCUGGUCCUUGGUAUGGAGUAUAUGAGUAGCUAUGUUCCCCUAGUAAGACCUCCAAACAAGCUCUGAAGGUCCAAGACUUUGAGAUGUAUGGGACAGUAGAAAUCUAUGAGGAGAUGAAAAGGCUUGUUU